UUUCCGUAGGUGAACCUGCGGAAGGAUCAUUAUCGUACAAAAUGUGAGGGGCCUGCGAGGGCUGUCGCUGACCCAAACGUCGUGCACGCCCGAGUGUGUCCUCUUGCAUAAUAAUCCAUCUCACCCUUUGUGCAUCACCGCGUGGGCACCCUUCGGGAUCAUCUCGGAGGGGGGCUCGCGUUUUCACACAAACCCCCCUUUUAAAAGUGUAGAAGGACCACAUUUAUGCAAUCAAUACAACUUUCAACAACGGAUCUCUUGGCUCUC
rnacentral:misc_RNA from 1 species